CUUUCCAGGCUGAGAGCUUGAGUUUUAUUUUGUCAACAAUUGGUUGAAAAUAUGCAGUUUUAGCUUUUCCUUUAAAAAUUGGGACACCUAAAUAUGAAAAGGGUAAAGUGCCAAUUGUAAAACCUGUCAAAUUGGAGAUUUGUGUGAUUCUUUGUUGAGACAUGGAACCAGUGUAGAAAGAUGAUUUCUGAGGAUUUACAUGCUGGCCUGAAACCAAAGAAUAAUCAUUGAAGAGUUCUUUUAGAGUGUUAAUGUUUGCUGAAGUACCUUUACAGAAAAUCAUAAUGUCAUCAGCAUAGAGGAUGUGUGAAGGUGCUUGAUUACUUCUUGAGCCAUGAAACAACUUUAAACGACCAUCUCUAACCAGCUUAGUGAGACUUCUACUCAAAACUUCCUCUGCAAGACAAAAAAGAAGAGGGGACAAAGGGUCCCCUUGUCUUACUCCCCUUGAACAAGAAAAGAAACCAUGAAGCUUUCCAUUGAUUGAAAUAGACAUCUUUGCAGAGUUUAAAAUUGUUUUGAUCCAGUUACAAAAAAGAUCACUGAAACCAAAAGUUUUCAAAACUUUGAGCAGGAAUUCCCAAUUCAAAGUGUCAAAAGCCUUUGCCAUAUCAACCUUUAUAGCAGCAUUUCCUCCAAAAGUCUUCUUAUGCAAUACAUUAACAACUUCAGAUGUUAAACAUAUGCAAUCUUUGAUACUUCUCCCCUUUAUGAAGCCUCUUUGUUGAAUUGAAAUUAUUGCAGGCAUGAUUGUUGAUAGCCUAUCUGCCAGAAUCUUGGAUAUAAGCUUAAACUUGAAAUUUGCAAUGGCAAUUGGCCUAUAAUGCUCCACUAAAUCUGCAUGGUUAGUUUUUGGAAUAAGAGCAAUAAUAUUUGAAUUAAAAUUGGGAAGUAACCAACCAGAUGCAAAAAACUGCAAUACAGCUUUACAAACAUUAUGUUUGAUUAUUCCCAGUAGUUUUGAAAAAAAAAACUGCACCAAAGCCAUCUGGCCCUGGAGCACUGUCUUUAUUUAAAGAAAAAACAGCAUUAGAAAUUUCCUCAUCAGAAGGUAACAUGGUGAGCAUGUUAUUGAUUCUAUCUGUAAUCAGAUUAGGGAUAACCUCUUCAAUCAUUCCAUUUUGUGUAACAUUUGAAUUGUUGGUAAAGAUAUUUGUAAAGUGAUUCACAACAUGUUCUGAGAUCAAAUUAGGAUCAGUUAGUGGGAUGUCUCCAUUCUUCAUAGUUGAGAUAAGGCUAGAGGUUUUUUUUAUUUUUGCUAUUCUAUGGAAAAAAAGUUGUAUUUCUGUCUCCUUCACAAUGCCACUUGACUUUUGAUUUUUCAUGCUAGAAGAUUUCUUCUAUAUUCAGAGCAUUUUCUAAGUUCACUUGAGCAAUCUUUUCUUGGUCCAUAAGAAUAUCGGGUACCAGAGCGUAGANNNNNNNNNNNNNNNNNNNNNNNNNNNNNNNNNNNNNNNNNNNNNNNNNNNNNNNNNNNNNNNNNNNNNNNNNNNNNNNNNNNNNNNNNNNNNNNNNNNNUUGGUGGAACCGAGGGGAAGGGCUUGGGAGAUGGCCGGGAGUUUUGGGAAAGAAUUGGGUCGCGAGGGGGGAUUGGGGGGGGUUGGAGAGAAAGGGGUAGCGAAGAUUCGGGAGACGCUGAUAAGAAGAGUCCGGUUGAGGCCAGUGUGGAUCGGAAAACCCGAAGAAGAGCUGGCCCAUGGCCAUGUUCUUUCCAAGAAGUAAUGUGAAUGGAACACAUAUGCUAGUUGGUGAAGGUAUUGUGUGGUAUGUUGUCAGUUUUUGGCACUAAGUAGUUUCUAGUGCUUUAAAUGUAUAUUUUGUGAACAAUCAUGAUAAUAAUCAUAAAAUUAUAUGACCAUCCCAAAAUUUAUAAUGAUUCUUUUUCAUUUAAAUGUUCAUUUGUAUGUUCUAUAAACCCUGCGGGUUGGCAGUGUGAACGUCUGAGAACAAGUAGGAGCAAGAAACUUUGCACACAUAAUUUGUAGGACAGAGUAGUACAUGUAAAUGUGUGUGAGGUGAACUAAACGCUACUAUAUGUUGUUGAUUGACAACAGUCAACAACACAAAAGAGGAAGAGGGACUUUGAGAUGGCUGAGGGUAGUGAUCAUUUUUCCAUAACCCACUAUAUCUUUUUACAUUUGUGAAUGGAUAUGGCUUGAGAGGAAAAAUAAGCACAAGAAAAAAGGUUAUAUUGCAGUUUAACACCCUUUUUCUUUUGCUUUAUUUUCUCUAAAAAUAUUUGGCAAAGAAAAAUAACUUUUUCACAAGACAACUUUUGUUAAAGUGAUUAACACAUUUAACAGACCUUCCAUCUACUUAAUUUUUAAUAAUUUUUUCCCUGCAUUGAUUGUGUGCUAGGCUUUGAAUUCUUCAUUUGGUGAUAUGGUGGCCAUAAUGACAACCAUUUUUGUGUGUCAAAAUCACUACAAGAAAUAAGACAAGUAGAUAAUUAUGUUCAGUAAGUUUUUUUUUUUUUUUUGACAGUUUAACACCCUUUUUUUUUUUGCUUAUCAUGCUCAUCAACAAAAAAAAAAAACAGUAAUAAUUUUCUUGAACAUAAAGAAGUGAAAAAAUAAUAUCAUAUUAAAUAAUUUUUUUUUUGAAGAGCAUAUUAAAUAAUAUUAUUAUAAAGUUUGGGUGAAUAUUGCAUGUUUUGAUAGGUUCGGUGAAGUUAAUAAAUUUGAUAAUUGAUGUUGCUCACGUUAGAAUAAGUUAGUCCCUUUCACGACAUGAUAUUGAGUUUAAUAAAACCAAAAACAUUAAAAAUAUGUUUUAAACUGAUUUUCUAAAUAAGUUAAGGUUCUAUCACCCAUAUUGUCAACCCAAAUCUAUAAACAUUAAGUGACAGAAGGGACUAACUUAUUCCAAAGUGAGUAACGUUUUGGACCAACUUGAAACUUUUAAAACGUAAGGGACCAACUUGAAACUUUUAAAACAUAAGGGACCAACUUGAAAACUAAAAUAAACAUAAGGGAUCAAACAUGCAAUUAAGCCUUUAUGUUUACUAGCAAAAGAAAUUGUGAGGCCUCCUGAUUUUAACUUUACAGAAAUUCCGUCCAAAAUCAAAGAUGAUAGAAGGUACUGGCCUUAUUUUGAAAGAUGUAUCGAUGCUAUAGAAAUAUGCCUUUUAUUUUAUUUAUGAUAAUUUGUAAUAAAAUCUCAAAGCACUUUUAAACAUAUUUUACCACCCAGAUUUUAACUUAAAAGUACUAAUUAAGUUGGAAAAAACAACAAAUACCAAACAACUUUAACUUCAACUUCAAAGUUUUGAUUUUCAACUUCAUUCUAAAAUUAACUUUUAGACCUUAAAAAACUAAGGUGAAAUGCACCCUAAAUUAGAAGCUAGUAGGCGUUUACAAUAAUUAAUGACUGUAAUGUAAAUAUAAAUGCCUCAUUUACUUCCAUAUAGACUAUCCACCACAGUUUUGGAAUCAAUCUCAAAGUCCACAAUAUCCAACUGAAGAUCACGAACCCACCUAAGCGUCGAUAACAAGCCUAAUCCAAGAGUGAGUCACACACAUCACUAUCUUGAUCCACACUAGGAACCCACUCCCGCACCCCCAUCAAGCCCAACCAGGGCUAUGAUACCAGUAUGUUGGGGAGUCUAGGGAGCACUGGGAGCGACAAUAAGCUAAAUGUUCAGGACCGUUAAGACACUUAGACACCACAUCUCCACCCAAAACAUUAAGACAUGAGGUAUAUGUGUCCCCUCUCUCAUAUAUCCAACAUUUUCCUCCAUUUAUAGUCGAUGUGAGACACAAUCACUCACACUUAAUUUCUGACAAUCUUCCCCUCAAAUGUGAGUCAUCCACAUCACUAGCUUGAUCCACACUAAGCCAACUCAAGUGGGUUUCAUAUGUUACAUAUUUAUAUAUAAAAUACAAAUAUUUGUCAAUAAGAUAUAAAAAAAUAGGGAUGGCAAGAUGGGUUGUACGUGUCCAGUUGGCUGGUUUAACCCACCUUUCUUGGUGGGGUAGAUUGAGAUUUCAAACCCGCCAUUAACAUGGUACCCAUCCCACCUAACUCGCUGAAAAAUGGGGAAGUGACAGGCGGGACAGAUAGACUCUUUGAGUUCAAAUAAAAAAGCUCUCUUUUUUAGUUCUUUUUAUUUAUAAGCUACGAUUAAAUUUCUAAUUUUCUCCUCCAUAUAUAGUAAAGAAAUUUCAACACUUGACAUGCGCUCUGGCCAUGUGUUGUUCCUCCUGGAAAUUGAACCCGGUAUUCGACGGGUACGUUCUUGAAAGUAGCUCUUUGCCAUGGGUGCCCAAACAACUUGGUUAUUAAUGUAUGCAUUAAUUAGCUUUAUAAAUAGUUUUGUUUUUUUGUUGAGGGAAAAUACAAAAGUAUUUUAAUUUUAAUAUAAUAUAUAAUGAGUGAAGACUCACUUUGGCUGUUAGCCCCUUUGUAUAGAAAAGGAUAAAAUGUGCAGGGGCCAAAUUUAGUCUUCGACAAAAAAAUAUCAGUCUAUUUAAUCUCUUAUAAAAUUAAUCCGAGACAAUUUAGUCUCUUUGUUAAUAUUUUUCUCCAACCAGUUUUUUUUAUUCCUAUUUUUGAAUCGUGACUAUGGGAGAUUUACAUGCAUACUAUAAAAAAUUGAAACAAGAUGAUCCCCAUAAAAAAUAAAAGCAGCAAAAUUAGUCAUUAUUUUUUAUUUUCUUCAUAACAAAAAACAAAUAAUAAUUGCAGUUUGUUAAAUUUUAAAAGACCAAAUGGAAAUAAGAUGCAAACUGAAAUAGAAGGAUGUGUGUUUAGAGUUUAAAUUUCUUAAAUCAUUAGACUCUUGCUGGUCUCACCCAUAUAAUUCUAGUUACACUCAAAUUUAUUUAAAAUUUUACAAUUAUACCAAAAUUGCCCUGUUCAUGUAAAUUUCUAAAAACCCAUCUUUUAUGAUCAUUCUGAAUUCUCACCCCCUUUCAUCCACAAAUCACCAUAUAUGUGCAACCAAGAUCUGAAUCAACAUCUUUGUCAUUGAUCUGUAAUCUAUUCAUAAAUUUCAUUUUCUAAGAGUUUCUAUUUGUUUAUGGUUUGUUUUGGUAUGAGAUAUGCAUGUGUUUACCCGCAAUUGAUUUCCCUUAGUGAGAGGUUAGUGUAAAUUNNNNNNNNNNNNNNNNNNNNNNNNNNNNNNNNNNNNNNNNNNNNNNNNNNNNNNNNNNNNNNNNNNNNNNNNNNNNNNNNNNNNNNNNNNNNNNNNNNNNGGGGAGGGGAAGAAGGGGUAAGGUGGUGGAGAGGGAGUCAGCGAAGGGUGAAAGAAAGGGUGCCAGAGGUGGGUGUGGAGGGCGAAGUGAACCCGUGGAGGGGGGGAGAGGAGGGGGGGGUGGAAAAAAAGUGUGGGGAGUGGGGGGGAGAUUGGGAAAGAAGGGGGUUAGGGAGGGGUGCGUAAAUUAAAGGGAGUGAAGGUCGCAUAAUCAAUGUAGGGUUGGGGUAAAGGGGUAGUAAACAAAUUGUUGGUAAAAUUGGAAAGUAAUUGCCGAAGUUAUGGCUUGUUAGGUAAUGGCCCAAAUUCAUGGUCGGAGAUGGUAUUUAAAGGGACAAAUGGGGUGUGUUCUUUAUCUAAGGGUUUUAGUGCGCCGUAAGAUUUGAAAAGGAAUGUUUUUUUUUUUUACAAUUUUGAAAAGGGAUUUUUUUUUUUUUUUUUUUGACAAGGAAAAGGGAUGUUAAAAUGCAAGAAAUUAGUAUAGCCAUUUGUAUCGAGCACAUAAUGAAAAUCCGUAUAAGUUUUUUCGGUAAAUUUAAAAAACAUUAUGUAAAUUGUUUAUUCUUCCUUUAUACUAGUUUAACUUUUUUUUUUAAAAAAAAAAUAGAUAAUAUUUUAGAAAUUAUUACCAAGUGAUUUUGGGUCAUUAGAUUAAUCCACAUAUUUAUUUAACGCAAAAUUCUUCACUAUUGUGUGGCUACCGAAAAUUAUAGAGACACUGCUACAAUUUAUAUUAUAUUAUUAUAUUAAAAAUUUCUGUCAAAAAUAAUAAUAUUAUUAUAUUAAAAAUAUUAAAAUUAAAUCAAUUUUGAAAUUUGCAAAUGCAUACUGUAUGAAUACUAUUUAUAGAUUUAAUUAAUGCAUACAUUAAUAUAGAAAUCAUUUUUUUAACCCUUAGGUUCCUAUAAGAAAACGGUUUUUAUAAUCUGGAGUUCAACCGAUAGGUAAAUAAUGUAGGCAAAAAAUUAUUUUUUACUAACUAAUCAAAUUAUCCGAUUCUCGUACCCAAUUCGUUUUUUUGUGGAGCUCAUUAAUACUUGAGAUCAGUUACUUGGUUAAUAUGAAAAUCGAUUCGGUCAUAAUAGACUAAAAUAAAAAAUAUAUAUAUGUGAAGUGAGAGGCCCAAAAAUGCCGAAAUUGUUAGGCCGGAUGUCAUGACGGGGUUCGAACUCCGGUACCUCCACUUGUGUGUCUAUUUCAUUUAUCUAUAAAAAAAUAAAAAUAAAAAUAUAUAUAUAUGAGGAGGGAUAUUUUGACUCCAAGAGUAACUCAAAAGAGUUACUCCACAUCCCCACCAUUAAUUUUAUCUUAAUCUAAUGGACUACAUUUAUGUCUUAUUAAUAAUCAUGUGCAUCAUCAUACUUGAUCAUUCUAACAAUAUUUAAUUUUCCUUUUUCAUACUCAAUCAACAUUUAUGUUUUAUUAACACAAUUUUUUUUGGUCAAGAUAUUGAGACGAUCAGUUAUUGUUUUGAAGUAUAUAUAUAUAUAUAUAUAUAUAUCUUCACAAAAAAAAAAGUAUAUAUAUAUAUAUAUAUUUGAAGGAAAUAUUUUUAAAGAUAUAAAUUGAUAAAAAAUAAUUAAUACAAAUAUAUCGAUACUUUUUGCUUUAAAAAAAGUAAAUAUUUUUUAAAUUUUUAUUUUAUCAGUGUAUUAAAAAAAGUUAUAUUUAAAUAUAAGUGUAAUGUUUUGUCCAAAAAAAAAAUAAGUGUGAUGUUUUUUACCAGCAUGAGUUUUUUUUUUUAGGAACGUUAAUCGUAGUUUAAUAUUUUUUUUUUGACAAAUCAUAGUUUAAUAUUUGAAAUUUGUUAAAAAAAACAUUUGAUGAAACAUAAAAAUAAUUUCUUGUUACCAAUUAUUAAUUGUGUUAAUGAAACAUAAAUGUUGAUUGAAAGCAAAAAAAGAAACCUAUUAUUAUUAAAAUGAUCAAGAAUGGUGAGACACAUGAUUAUUGAUAAGACUUAAAUGUAAUCCAUUAGAUUAAAAUAAAAUUAAAGGUGGAGAUGUGGAGUAACUCCUUAGAGUUACUCUUGGAGUCAAUAUAUCCCUCCCCCUAUAUAUAUAUGUGUGUGUGUGUGUGAAGUGAGAGGCCCAAAAAUUAUGCUUUUCCACUUUUGCUUCAAUAAUUAAUUUUUUGAAGGAUUCAAUAAUUAAUGUUAAUUUGAUUUUAAUCCCUAAGAAAUAAACGGGACGUUUUUCGUCCUCCCAAAAUUUUUCAUUUCAUCUUUAGUCCUUAAUGAACAUAAGUUUGAUACGUCCUUGACAUUUUUUUAGCAUAAUACGGACAUAAAGAGGUUUCAUAAAGGGUAAUAAAAUUGGCAUUAAGAUGAACAUAAAUUGCCCAUUAGAAACUAAAAACAAAAGAGGAAAUUUUGAGAGGACAAAAUAUCCCGUUUUAUUUGUUAGUGACGGAAAACUUAUUUAACUCAACAAAUAAAUUAAAUGGUAUGGUAUUCAUAAGUCCUAGCUCAACUGUUAAAAUGUCGAUAUUGUUAAGUCGGAUGUCAUGAUCAAGGUUUGCACCCCGUACCUCCACUUAUGUGUGUGAGUUUAUAAUGGCUUUACAAUUUCGUCUAUCUAAAAAUAAAAAUUGAAUGUUAUGGUCAUGUUUAAAGCAAGAAGAGAAUGAAUAGACCGUUUAACGUAAAAACACAAUGUUUUUUUGGACGCAAAAAUACAUAAUGAUUUGGCAGAUGCUACUCACACCCCAAAAAACACAAGUUACACCCCAGACUGACUAAUAUACCCUUUAACUAAAAUAAAAAUUUCAAAUUAAUCUAAAAUCCUUUCAUCCAUCGCUUAAUCACUGAAACCUAACGUAAACCUAAUUCACUUAUUCCUCCUUCCAAACACACACACCGUGUUUUUGAAACUUCCAAACCUAAUUCACAUAUUGGCUAAUCCGUAAACUUAAUUGACAUUAACCUAAUUUCACAUAUUGCGUGCACAUAGUCUCUCUGAAAUCAACUAUCUUGGCUAAUCCGUAAACUUAAUUUACAUUAACCUCUUUAAUUGUACAUUUGUAAACUAAAUUUACACUAACCCUCUUAUAUAUAUAUAUAUAUAUAUAUAUACACACACACACAACGUAAACUUAAUUUACAUUAACCUAAAUUGAAUAUAANNNNNNNNNNNNNNNNNNNNNNNNNNNNNNNNNNNNNNNNNNNNNNNNNNNNNNNNNNNNNNNNNNNNNNNNNNNNNNNNNNNNNNNNNNNNNNNNNNNNUACUGAAGAACGAGAGGCGAGCCGCGAGGGGUGGAAGGCGGGGAGGGCGUGGAGAGGGUGGGGGGGCGGUGGGGGGGGGCGAGUCGGGCGCGGGAGGUGGGGGGGAGGGGGAAGUCGCACCAGGGCGGGCGGGAGGCGCGUGGGGCGGGGCGGGGGGGGGGGGGGAGGGGGGGGUGGGGUGCGAGAGCGAUGGGGGGAAGGCGAGGAGCGGGGGGGGGGGGCGUUGUGCAACUGGGGAGGCGGGGGGGAGGGGGGCACGUAUGCCCUUGGUUGGAUGAGAGGGGUGGGUUCUUUGGAGGACGGGGACUGUGGAAGGGGUGGGGAGGUGUUGAAAGAGUGGACGGGGGUUCGAUCCAGGAAUGGAAUAGGAAGUUGGGGGAGUGUGUUUGGAUUGAUAUUUUAUAGUUACCACGUCAAGUUCAAUAACUUAGUUAUGAAUAUAAUUGAUUGUUUUUAUAUUUUUGCAUAUUAAUAAUUCUUCUAAAGAAUGAAUUGACACCACCCUACAAUUUCAGGGAAUCAAUUGAUGAUUUACUCUCAUAAUUGAGUUUACAUGUAGUAAGAACUUUCCUUUCACAUAUAUAUUUUUAUUUUUCUUUUCCUUGUUGAUUUUAAGAUAUAUAAGAUGGACACAUCCACCAACUUUUUCUUCUUUUCACUCAUUCAUGUUAAGUAAUAGUAUUAAAUUCUCAAAAUCUAAUGACAACUUUUUUAGUUGUUCACGAUAAUAGCAUAGACGUUCAGUGGGGUAUGCUAUUAAUGGCAAUGGUAAAUUUUGAUCUCUAGAAUCUAGGGCAACGGUUUUAUUUAUUCUCUUUAAUAGGUAUGACAACGGCUUUUAUCUGUUGCAAAAACCCAUAUACAAUAAUACCGUUGUCAGAAGGUAAGGCAACGCCGUAGACUACAACGCUCGAAAAAGCAUUGUCGAAAGGUAAGACACACUACCACAAUUUUGGCUUUUAAUAGCACAAUUUUAAUAGCGUUUCUGGAUAAAUGCUAUUAAAAAUGCAACUCAUAAACCUGUUAUAGCACUUUACAGAAAGCGCUAAGAAAAACAUGAUAAAAACUAGGUUAGAUAGCGCUUUUUCAUAAACGCUAUUGUUUUGGUUUGCACUAAUAGCGCUUUUCAGGAAACGCUAUUGUUAAAGGGGGUAUAGAUAGCGUUUCUCACAAACGCUAUUGUUUGGGUUUUGUGAAAAUAAAAAAGGGCCGAUUUUUUUCAUUUUAGCGCACAAAGCUUAAUCCACAGUUCACAAACACAAAAGCUCCUCCAUCGUGCUAUCAGUCCCAAAAAAAAUCAUAGAACUCAAUCGCUCUUGCUUCAUCACCAAUUUGUAUCGUUCUUCCAUAUUGUCCUUUCUCUUCCUUCAUCAAUCUCUCAUCACGCAUCUUCUUCUCAAUCGAGUGGAUGUUUCUUCUCUCAAUCGAUUAUUCUUAUUCUCCGGUACUGUUCACUUUCUUUACUUUUUGUUCCUCUUUCAAUAGAUUUUGAUUUACUUUUUAUUCCUUCUUUCAAUAGAUUUUGAUUUGUUGACUCUUUUCGUUUCUUCUCUCACUAUAUUUUGAUUUGGAUUUGAAUUUUUACUGUUCACUCAAUUUACUUCACUCGAUUUGUGUGUUUAUGGUGACCCUUUUGCUUAGAUUUUGAGAGUUGAAUGUGUUAUGAUGCUUAGAUUUUGAGUGUAUAACGAUUUUGUUUUGUCUUGAGAUGUAUAAUGAUUUUGUUCACUGAUAAUUUUGAGCUUUUGACUUUUGCUUCUCAUGUUCAAGGAUUUGACUUUUGCUUUUUUUUGUAAUGAUCUUUUGCUGGGUAUGAUUUUUCUACAAAAUUAAAGAAACACAUAUUAACUGAAAUUGUAGUCCAUAGAUAGUCACAUAAUACACAAUUCGCAUCGGUACGCGGUACGGGUUUGGGUUCGCGGUGAGCGACAU
rnacentral:lncRNA from 1 species